AAGGAUUUAAGUUAACUUGCUAAACUAUUAGCCUUCAAAGCUGAAAACAGGGGAUUCCUAAGCCUUA
rnacentral:tRNA from 1 species